rnacentral:lncRNA from 1 species
UCGCAUUUGUGAUUUUACCCUUGUUGUUGUUUCCGAAGGUGACAUAGCCUUCGUCUUUGCUAGUGAGCUUAGAGAAUUGAGAUGGAUCUCCGGUCAUAUGCCUUGAGCAUCCACUAUCAAGGUACCAUCUCUUGCUCCUAGCUUGCGAUGGUGUGGGUUUCUACAAGAAAGGAUGAUUUUUAGGUACCCAUUUGCUUUUGGGUGUCUCAAAGAUAGAUCUACAUUGUUUAUCAUGUUGCAUAGAGUUUAUCAUGGUUCCUUUAGGAACCCAAAUCAAUUUGUUUGGACUAAUUUUCUUAAAUGGACAAUAAUACGUCUUGUGUCCAAUUUUGCAACAAAAGUUACAUUUUGCUUGGUGUUGAACAUGUAAGAUGGGGCCUUUUAUAAAGGUGGUUGGAUUUAGG